AAACCUUACGAUUUUCCAGCUCCGCUGACACCCAUAAGUACAAUAGCUUUUCCUUUGUAGUCAGAUGACAUUUUCGGAAAACUUACGACACAAUUGCAAGUGCUUGAUGUUGAAAGGAUUAGAUGAUUAACCCCUUCAGAUAUUCCAAGGUUUUGUGCAUCUCUCUGAUCAAACGGAAUUUCGCCGGAGAAAUGAACGGAGAUUGGUUCGCCGGCAAAAGCA
rnacentral:misc_RNA from 1 species